UUUGGGGAGUCGGAGACGGAGACGGAGAAGGUGCCCACCGGAGGGAAAUGAGAGCUGAAGCGAUGCGAGAUUGCGCGUUUUUGCUAACACUUCUCUUCCUUUUUGAUUCAAUUGUCCAGAUCCUUGGCCUUGGGCUCGGAAUCAACUACGGCCAGAUCGCGAACAACCUCCCUUCUCCUUCCCGAGUCGCCUUCCUCCUCGAGUCCCUCAACAUCAACAGAGUCAAACUCUAUGAUGCUGAUCCAAAUGUCCUCCAGGCAUUCUCAAAUUCGAACGUCGAGUUUGUAGUUGGUGUUGGAAAUGAGUAUCUUCUGAACAUGACGGACUCCAACAAAGCCCUGGCCUGGGUGAAGCAACAUGUCCUGCGCCACCUUCCCUGGACCAGAAUAACCUGCAUCACCGUCGGGAACGAAGUUUUAUCUGGUAAUGACACCCAAUUGAUGUCCUAUCUCCUCCCGGCAAUCCAUUCCAUCUACAAUGCUCUUGUUUCCCUUGGAAUGAAUGAUCGAGUGAACGUAACCACCGCUCAUUCUCUCUCCAUAUUAGCCAACUCCUUCCCGCCUUCCUCUGGUGCUUUCCGGCAAGAUCUCGGUGAAUACAUCCAACCCCUUCUCAAUUUUCAUUCCCAGAUCAAGUCUCCUUUCCUCAUCAACGCGUAUCCUUACUUUGCCUAUAAAGAUAACCCCAAUGAAGUCUCAUUGGACUACGUUCUGUUCCAGUCGAACCAAGGGAUGACAGAUCCAAAUACAAAUCUAAAAUACGAUAACAUGUUGUAUGCUCAAAUAGAUGCUGUUUAUUCGGCGAUCAAGAGAAUGGGGCAUACUGAUAUAGAAGUGAGGAUUUCUGAGACAGGUUGGCCUUCUAAAGGGGACCCUGACGAGGUAGGGGCCUCACCAGAGAACGCCAGGAUUUAUAAUGGGAAUUUGCUGCGCAGAAUAGAGGAGGGGCAGGGUACUCCAUUGAAACCAUCUAUUCCGAUCGAUAUUUAUGUCUUUGCACUCUUCAAUGAGGAUCUGAAGCCGGGUCCGGCUUCUGAGAGGAACUAUGGGUUGUACUAUCCAGAUGGAACUCCAGUUUAUGACAUUGGAUUACGUGGUUAUCUCGCAGAGAUGGUUUCUGCUUCUAAGACUAAGAACAUGUCCUUUUUGGGAUUUAUCAUCUUCAUCACAGCAUUUUUAAUCUGUGGUUGAGGAAGGCCUGCAAAUUAUGCAGUACUCGACAAAAGAGGGAGAGGUUGAGAAAAAGGAGGAGCUGAAUCAGAAAGCACUGAAAUUUUCCAACCUGUGAUUAUGAUAGGACAUCUGUGAGGGUAACCACAAUACCAGGAAUUUAUUUCAUGCCAAGCACCAAUUGAAGCCAAUUUCGUUCCGGUGCCGUUAUAUUCAAGAACCUUUCUAGUAACUUAAGAGGAGAGUCCAUCUUGUACAUCCGCCAUCCUGAAAUUGAGAAGCGAGGUACCAACACUUCAAUCUGUAAAAUAAUGAAACCAUCUACAGGCAUAAUAAGGGUAGGAUUAAUUCAUUUUAUUAAUGCGCGUCUAAUAAAUGGGAAAAGUUGGUCUAAUCCAUGACAACUUUAAGAACAUAAAGAUGGUUUCUCUUUGUAAUGUACUGAUCAGGAUAUAUGAGCACGGACAGUUUUAUGUGUAUAAUAAUUUUGUCUUUUAUUUAUUGGUGGCAAAAUGAGAGUGAAUAAGUGUCUAGUUUUGGGCUGAUGGGUCUGAAGUGAUCUUUUUAUUUCCGGUAUAUGUAACUUCAAUGCCAGAAAACAGCUGGAUAAGCUUUUGGGUUGUCAAUGGUAUCUGAAAUUUUGAAAUUCCAUUUGGAUUUUAAAAUCUGUAUGGAUAGAUUCUGCUUAAUAAUUGGAUUGAAC